UCCGGUUUGUCACCGGCAGUCUCAUUAAAGUGCCCAACUAAAUGAUGGCAAUUAAUGAUAAGGGUUGCGCUCGUUGCGGGACUUAACCCAACAUCUCACGACACGAGCUGACGACAGCCAUGCAGCACCUGUGUUCAGGUUCCCUUACGGGCACAGCAGAAUCUCUUCUGCCUUCCUGACAAGUCAAGGGUAGGUAAGGUUUUUCGCGUUGCAUCGAAUUAAUCCACAUAAUCCACCGCUUGUGCGGGUCCCCGUCAAUUCCUUUGAGUUUUAAUCUUGCGACCGUACUCCCCAGGCGGUCAACUUCACGCGUUAGCUGCGUUACCGAAAGAUAACUCUCCCGACAACUAGUUGACAUCGUUUAGGGCGUGGACUAC
rnacentral:misc_RNA from 1 species